GACGAACCGUGCGAGCGUUAUUCGGAAUCAUUGGGCUUAAAGGGCGCGUAGGCGGCGGUGUAAGUUGGAAGUGAAAUCCCAUCGGCUCAACCGUGGAAUUGCUCCCAGUACUGCAUCGCUCGAGGGGGAUAGGGGUCUGCGGAACUACCGGUGGAGCGGUGAAAUGUGUUGAUAUCGGUGGGAACGCCAGUGGCGAAAGCGGCAGACUGGACCCUUCCUGACGCUGAGGCGCGAAAGCUAGGGGAGCAAACGGG
rnacentral:rRNA from 1 species